UACGUAGGGGCCUAGCGUUGUCCGGAAUUAUUGGGCGUAAAGAGCUCGUAGGCGGUUCGGUAAGUCGAAUGUGAAAUCUCCACGCUCAACGUGGAGGGGUCAUUCGAAACUGCCGUGACUUGAGUACGGUAGGGGAGUGUGGAAUUCCCGGUGUAGCGGUGAAAUGCGCAGAGAUCGGGAGGAACACCCGUAGCGAAGGCGGCACUCUGGGCCGAUACUGACGCUGAGGAGCGAAAGCGUGGGGAGCAAACAGG
rnacentral:rRNA from 1 species